ensembl:lncRNA
GGGGUGUACAAGAGUAGUAUGGAGUGGAAAACUUUCCAAACCUCUCUCUUGAAGAUGCAAUAACAAAGUUAGUGUAAGAUGAGAUUGUGGCUGUUUAGCCCUGACUUACUGUAUCCAUCCACUGCUUCCAGCUCCUGGGGAGUGCUCGCAGCAGUGUCUCCAUUGCUUCGCAGCGUAACGAGCAGUUCAUCAAACUGAAUUGGGAUGAGAGUCCUUCCUUUUCUCCCGGCUGCAGCUGUUUGCAGUAUGAGGACUGCCUGACAGAAUUCUAUGCCCAUUGGUAGGGAGCUUAAAAAAAGUAAUACAAAGCUUUACGAUUAAGUUCCACGAAUAAAGAGAAUACGUAGAAGCCGUACAGAUGCAAAAACACAGUCGACAAACACUGCCUUAUAAUUUUGGCUGGCUGAGAAAUGAUUUCCAUGUUUGAGAAAAUUCUAAUGCGAUUCCCUGUUUGUCUGAAAACGAAAAGGAGCCUGGAACUAGAUGAACUGCUUCCAAGCAGAAACGAGAAGCUAUGUUUAAAAGCGUAAUUAAAAAGGGGCUGCAGAAGAUGGGACUCCGCCCCAGUGCUCCCCCAAGAAAUUUGGCAUCUGUAAUCAAACCAUCACGCUAAUUACUGGAAACCAGAGCCCGGCGAGGCUGCAGACAGGCCCUCAAGGAGACGUUCCCAAAAUAACCGGAGGAAUUAUUUCUUUUUUUUCCUAUUCUAAUGGCUUUCCUUCUUCUUCAAUGGAAAUAAUUCUGCUGCAGCCGGAUAACGCCUCAGACCUAUUUUUGAAAUGUGGGUUAAACGUUAAAUUUGGAAGCGGGGAGACGGCAUCCGGAGCUGCUUUCAUUUUGGGGAGGAAAAACAAAAAAAAAAGAAAGAAAAAAAGUGUGAUUUUUAUGAAGAUGGUGCCCCAGUUUCGGCUGGGGCCGCCUCAGGAACAUGCCGGCAUCAGCGCUGGCGCCGCUGCAGUAAACAUUGCGAAGUGCCGUUCUUGCAUCAAACCCGAGGCACAGAGCCCUGCCGCUCUGCACGAGGGCUGAACCAGUGGGUCGGGCCGGAGCGAAAAGAGCACAAGCUGUGAGGAACGCGGCGGAAAAGAGCACUUUGCGGCGGCUGCGUGCGGCGCUGAAGGCACAGCGGCCCCGUGACAGGACAGGGCCGGGCCGGG